GUCGUUGUAGUAUAGUGGUGAGUAUCCCCGCCUGUCACGCGGGAGACCCGGGUUCGAUCCCCGGCAAUGGCG
rnacentral:tRNA from 1 species